AAAUAAAAAAAGCUCAUUACAGAAAGGAUUUUGAAUUUGCGAGCAUGGUGAUGACGUUAUUUCCUCUCAUCCAACGGCUGCUGCUGACAGCCACAAUGAUGCCGGGGAAGAAAUGAUCGGAAAUAAAACAUCCAUUCGAGACGGUGUAUUUAAAAAUGAAGUGGGAGUUCUGCGCGUGCUCAUCAUUCGAACUAUAACGGUCAUCUACCACUGUAUGCUGAGGAAAAGGGAUAAGCAUUUCAACACAGCCACAUCACCAAAUGGCAUUACACACUAGGAUGUGUCCUUCCUGUGUGUUUGGCUUUUUCAGAACCUGCACGGACAAGUCUGAUGAGUGGAGAUGUUGCUGUGGCCCUCUUUACAGACGAUACAAAUUUCAUUACCAACCUGUGAAAAUCUCAUGUCAUUAUGGAAAUGUGACUCAAGUUGUUAUAGCUCUAAAUACAACACAGUUACAAAAGAGAUGAAUAAAUAUUGUGUUAAUUGUACUUAAUAGUGCCUCUCUGUGUACUUUCAGGUUCUAUGAACUUCAUGCCAUGGGAACUGUGAUUGAGUAACUUUUUAUUUAUUUAUUUAUGAACAAAUCUGAAAUGGCACAUUCCCAGUUAUUAUAGAGAUAGUUCACUCAAAAUGAAAAUUCUGUAAUUAAUUACUCACCCUCAUGUCGUUCAAAACCCAUAAGAUCUUCAUUCAUCUUUGGAACACAAAAUAAGAUAUUUUUGAUGAAAUCCGAGAGCUUUCUGACCCUGCAUAGAUAGCAAUGCAACUGAAAUGUUUAAAAAUAUCUCAAUUUACUUCUUACUAAGAUCUAUUUGGAACAACAUGAGGGUGAGUAAUUAAUGACAGAAUUUUCAUUUUUGGACAAACUAUCCCUUUAAGAUUUAUAUAAAUGCUUUAGACUGUAGUUAUUCUUUUUAAAUUCUUCAUAAUAUGAAUAGUGUAUAAGGAUUGCUUAAUAAAACGUAAUGGAAUUUUACUAUACAAUUGAGGUCUUAAACAGAAUAAAAUAUUUUUUGAGUGUAUAUUGUGCAUGAGUUAAAUAUUGAUUAGAGUUUUUAAAGUCAUUUCACAAUGACAUUGCAACACAAGCAGGUUUAUAAUAUACGCUUCACAUGGGAUUCACAAGUUUCACAUGGGAAUUUACAUGUAUUUCACAUGUUAUCUCAUGGGUUUCACAUGGGAAAAUAUAUGUGUUUCACAUGUGAUCACAUGUGUUUCACAUGGGAAUUUACAUGUAUUUUACAUGUGAUCUCAUGGGUUUCACAUGGGAUUACAUGUGAUCCCAUGGGUUUCACAUAAGUACCAUGGGUUUCACAUGGGAAUAUAUGUGUGUUUCACAUGGGAAUAUACCAUGGGUUUCACAUGGGAAUUUACAUGUAUUUUACAUGUGAUCUCAUGGGUUUCACAUGGGAUUCACAUGUGAUCCCAUGGGUUUCACAUAGGAAAGUACCAUGGGUUUCACAUGGCAAUAUGCGUGUGUUCCACAUGGGAAUACACAUGUGUUUCACAUGUGAUCUCAUGGGUUUCACAUGGGAUUCACAUGGAAAUUCACAUGAAAGUGUUCC